rnacentral:lncRNA from 1 species
UCUCUGAUCAGAUUACAUUUAAACUAUAAAUAAAGUGGGAACCAAUAGAAAAUUAACAUGAACCCAUUUGAGCAUGUAGGCUAAAAUACAUUAUAAAACAUCUUGAAAAAAUAUUGAGUGGUGAAAAUUUUGUUUGAGGUCCUUCUGUUUUGACACGUGUGCUCCUUUUAUUUGUUUAACUUCUCAGCACUUCGGUUUCCCUCCCCACAAAUAGUGCUAAUAAUACUACCUAUCCCAUAGAGUUUCCAAGAGGAUUAAAUAAAUAAUAUACGUAAAACAUGAAGAACAAAGUCUGACAUACAAUAAGCAUUCAAUCAGCGUUAUUAUUAGCUAUUACUGGCACUCUGCUGCUGAUGUCCAUCCAGCUGGUUGCUGGUCUAUCACUUAUUUACCUCCCAUAGAAAGUACCUUCUUCAUUGGGUAGAAGGUUGUACUAGAUGACCUCUAAAAGAACUUCUCCAACUCUUACUCUUCUGUCAGUGGUCCCAGCAUCUCUCUUCAAAUCCUGUCUCUUGUGCUAGAUUAUUUAUUCCUUAAGGUCACAGCUCUGCGUUUUGUUUGAUUCCCUCAAAUGCCUCAGCCAGCGCUGGAUCCACAGCAAAUAUCCACCAGAGAGUGAUUCUAGAACCUCGAAGUCCACGUGCAGCUCCCAGACCUGAGGAAAGUGAGGAGGGGGCUACGUCCAUCAAAAUAAUUUCUUAAAAACUUUCCUACCUGGGCCAGAAAAAUCUCUUUCAUGAGGAUGGAUGCAGGUGGUUUUUGACGUGAAUUAUAUCAUUGAAUCAUCUAACAAAGGUAAGGUUAAAUAACACUAUCCGCAUUUACCGAUGAAUAAAAUCGGGGCGCAGGAAGAUGAGGUCAUUUGUCCAAGUGCUCACAGCUGGUAUGAGAUAAAGCUGAAAUCAGAUCCCAGGACUGUCUGACGGCGAGCCCGAGUUUUAGGCACUAGCCGACCCUAUAUAAAUUUAUAAUGCGGUUAAAACCUGCCGAUCGUUGUGAGUCCCAAGUCUCUAGCAAAAGGAAAUAGGAAAAAGCUCACCAUGUCAUUUUUUGUAAAUAAAAAUAAAGCCGAUGCCUGAGUGGUCUGGUGUCUUGUUUCAGGCUGCUGGGACUCAUGGAAAUGUGGUAGGUUUUCCUCCAGAUCACGGAGGCUUGUCACUGCCUGAACUUGAGCUCGCCGGCUCUCUGGUGAGGUCAGCAGGCACUUAAGAGUUUCAGACUGGGGCGCUGCAGUGAUCUCCUGCGUCUGACCAGAGCUGGAAGUCUGAGCCCAGCUGGGAAGGAUCCCAUGAACAGGACCAGGUAAACACUUGUGGCAUCCGCAAAGAAUACAAGGCAAUGAAUUGGUACAUGGUGCAUGACUGACUCUAAGUAAGAGAGCGGGCGCAAACUCUAGGUCUUCACAACCUGCUAAUCCUUCAGUUUGCCUUGGUUCCCAACUCAACGGGGACCUUCUGUGAAGGUGAAGGCUCCCACCUGGGCACAGGGACAGUCAUUAUAUACGUUCCAAACGAGUGGAUCAGGGCUGAAAGAAUAGCCCCAAUGAAGACGGAAAAGUUCUUUAACACCCGGCCAGUUCUGGUCUUCUUUUGCUCCAGCAUAUAGUGGUUCUCAAAGCGUGAUCCGCAGACCCCUGAGGGUGCCCAAGACCCUUUCCAGGGGUCCUCAAGGUCAAAACUGUUUUUAUAGGCGUUCCCCAACNNNNNNNNNNNNNNNNNNNNNNNNNNNNNNNNNNNNNNNNNNNNNNNNUGGUUGUACUGGUGAAGUCAUGUGAGUUAUAAGUUGGACCCGCCAGUUUUUCACAAAUGCUCUUUUCUUGAAAGAACACCCAACAAACUGUGGUUUUUCAGACUGGGCGUUUGGCAGACGUCUUCCUGAUAAUGUACAGGAUGAAUCUGUCAAUUCGAGGGAAAGCAUGGACAGCAUUUGUUGCCAGUGUAUCCUGCUGUUGUGAGGGGAGUGUUCUAUCAACAUCAAAUAGAUCCUACUGGUUGACAGUGUUGUUCAGUUUCAUAUCCUGACCCAUUUUCUAUCUGGCUGUUCUUGCAGUUGUUGAGAGGAGGGUGUUGAGGUCUCUGACUGUAACUGUGGAUUUGUCUCUUUCUCCUUUCACUUCUAUCUGUGUUUGUUUUACAUGUUUUGCAGUCUGACACAUGCACAUGUACGAUUACUGUGUAUUUUUGGUGGACUGACCUAUUUAUCAUGGUCCUUUUAUCUCCCUGUUCCUCAUAAUUUUCUUUGUCCAGCACUCUACUUUAAUAUCAAGAUGGCCGCUCUUGCUUCUUAAAAAUAAUGUUUGCAGGGAGUUCCCAUCAUGUAUCAGCAGUAACAAACCCAACUAGUAUCCAUGAGGAUUCAGGUUCCAUCCCUGGCCUCACUCAGUGGGUUAAAGAUCCAGUGUUGCUGUGAGCUUUGGUGUAGGUCAUAGGCGUGGCUCAGAUCUACAUUGCUGUGGCU